AUGACGUCGUUUUCUCUCUCCUGCCUCUUUUUCCAGCUGACAGCUCAGCGUCCGUCCGGCCCGUCCUCUCCGUCAGGAUCAGACACGACUCCUCAGUGUCUCCUCCUGGAGAGGCGCGGUGAUGCUGGAGCUGAGGCUCAGCAGUACCAAGAGCCGACCUCCCCCCGCGACCCUGAACUCACCCAGCCGGGGACUUCGCCUGACCCCCCCGUCAUUGGAGCUGGCCACGGCAAAGCUCAAAGCCCCGCAGGGAGCCGUGUGUCCUCGCCGUCCUCGCCUCGCUCGCCUCUCAGCCCCGUCCCACCCCGCGACCGCCUCUCCCCCUCCACCAGCCUGCAAAAGGCUUCCAGUAACGGAGCUUUGUCAAAUCUGAAAGACCCCGCCGAUGAUUCCCCUCGCAGCGCGACAGAGCCUCAGCUCAAGGAGGAAGAAAACUCUGCCGCGAAACAGCCAAUCGGCUCUUCCUCCAUCCGGAAAGACCCCACCCGCAGGCAGAGUCGAAUCCCUGUGCUCGAACCCUGCACCGCCACCCCCGGUUCUGCCAAGGAAAAGCUCCUGCAGAAAAAAGCUAGUCACCACGGCCCGGCGCCCUCCCCCACCGCCUCGCCCUCGCUCUCCGAUAAGCGGAGCGGCAUCAUAGCCACCCUCGCCCGGGAUCCGCUGUCCUCCGCCUCCGACCGCUCUCAGGAUGAGGACUCCCUCAUGGGCUCCCGCUCCGACCGACAGGUGGACGAUGCUCAGUCCCUGUCCUCCUCCUCCAGCCCCCUCUCCCGCAAGAGCAGGAUCCCCCGCCCCGUUCAGUCCGCCGCCUCUGCCGAGCAGCUGGCCACCCACUUCCUGCCAAGUCCGCCCCCGGGGAGGCCACCAAGCCGUCCAGGAGCGGAGGGCAGGCUGCGGCGCUAUCGCAUCAGAGUCGGCAGCACAGGUGAUGCUGACAUCCUGUCGUGCCUGGCUCAGCUAAUGCACAGCUCCCGCGGCUCCCCGGUUCACCAGCGCUCCUCGUCGCAGCACGGCGGCUCCAGGAUGGGAAUCGGCAGCCUGACCGGCUCCCCGCACCACCAGCGCAGCUCCAGCGGCUCCCCGCGCAGCUCCUCCUCCCUGCAGCGCUCCGUCAGCUCUUCGCCGUCCCACCACGAGCACCGAGGCGGCGCGGGAGGCGCCUGCUUGGGUCGCAGUCACUCGCCCCCCAGCUUCUCGGGAUCGCCGCCUCCCCGCCGCUUCUACCUUCACCACCAGGAGACGUGCUGCAGCCGGCAGGCGCGCGCAGCCGCCUUCCAUCUGUCCAGGGGGAAGGCUGGCUGCAGCCGAGAGGGCAAGUGCUCCUCCAAGCUGAGCAGAUAG
rnacentral:lncRNA from 1 species